GAGCAAUUAAAUAUGUCAGAAAUCUCAGUAAUAAAAGAGUAGUCGAGAAGUUCCCGGAUGGCCUACUGCUCCCGCCCAGAUUCUGAAGUGCUCCUCGAUGGACACUCUUCUAUCCCAGGAGGCCACGGGAGAGGAUUUAUUAUGAUAACAGGCUCUAGUAAACACACAUAACUUAAUUCUCCCAAGUGGAUUUACAUGUUCUAAACCACAUCUUAAAGAUGCUUACUAAAUGUUUAUUUAACAUCUGACAGGAACAUCUUCUGUAAGUAUUAUGGCUUAUGAGUGAUGGAUUAUGUAUGAGUGAUGUGUGUGUGCUAUUAUGUAGAAUUCACUGUUGUCAAAACUGUUUACUUUACAUGAAUGAAAAUAAUGUAAAUAAAUAAAUCUACAGUAACUAGACAUAAGUUUAAUCUGUUUUAUUUGUCUGUUAGUACUGUUGAUAAAUGAAGGAACAUUUGUGUUGAUAAAAAGAGAGUUAACACAUCAUCAUCAUCAUCAUGUGAAUGUAGUGUUGAGCACAUCAAUCUCAGAGGAAACUUGAAUCUUGUCUGAUGUUACAGGGACAGAUGAUCACGUGUGUUUAUCCGGUGGAGAGAGACUGAUGAAGGACUGAUGCCAUCAAAGGCUUUGAGUGACGAUAGUCACCCGAUUAAUACUGAGAUUCUAGAUGUUUUUAUUUAAAAAGGCUUAAAAGAGGUGUAGCGAGGAAUUUCACUACAAUGUAGGGGUGAGUUUAACUUCAGCUGCAAUAUAUCUUGGAUGACUAGGCAUUGACAAGAUCUAGGUCCUCACCCCCUAGUACGAUUAAUUCCCGUACUUAUAUAUAUAUAUAUAUAUAUAUAUAUAUAUAAGUAUGUUGUUGUCUGCCUUGCUAAUGUUGCUUUUGUCUUUUGUAGCAGCGACUGAUGAGGAUUGAGGCUCUGGAACUUAACAUACACGGUAGCUCCCCAGAGUAUAACAGUGUUGAUUAACCCCUCUUCCCCUCUUCAGACCACAAGACAGUAGGAAUGCCCCUACUCCAAGAUAACAAAGUUUUACACUUAUUUCUUAAAUGUUUAGCAGAAUUAAACAAAAUAAAGAAAACAACAGUCCUGAAAUAAAUUCUUUGUUUCACUGUCUUAUGAUUUUUCAAGAAAUAUAUAAAAAAUAAAGUUUUGUUCAGAUUCAAACUUUUGUUCAGUUUCUUCUCUUUCAACAGUAAUACUCAAAAUCAGAAAAACAACAACAGUUCUGAUAGAAUGCUCAGAUGGUACUCAGUUCACUCAAAAGUACAUUACAGAUGUUUCAUUCCAUAUCAGAUAUUUCCAGUUCACAUACCUGAGUGAGAUUCACAACCCCAAAGUUAAAGUUUUACCUCACAGUAGAACUGGGCUGGUGUUGGAGUGUCCAGAUAUGGCAGGGUAAUUAAAUCAAACAAAUAGCCACCUGUUCAAAAACAGAAAGUCCCUUCCGUUUCUUCAAAAAUAAUGUUCAAGAAAAAAAAUAAUGUUUAAAAAAAAAAAAAAAAAAAUCUUCACAAAGAUUCUGGUGGACAGAAACAGCGUAAUUCGGAUCCAUUCAUUCGUGCAAACUUAGUUAUCAGUUCUCAAGUCUAUGCAAUUGUCCAUCCAAAAAGGGUUUCAAAGUCUCCAAGUGAAAACAGUGCAAAAUGUCCAAAAAUAAACUGAAAAAUAGAAGGAAAAAUAUUGUCAAAAGAAGAGCGUCAAUGAGUUCGCAAUGCCGUUUGUGUCCACACGGCGGCACUAUUGUAUGAAAAACGACGCACGAGGAUUUCGGCUCGAACAGAAGUAGCAAAAUCACUCGAUCCAAGCUGCUUUGCUUCAAGAACAACAAAUAACGUCCGUGUGUUUCUUCAGAAUAGAAACUGUGGUUAAACAACAGUGAAGAAAAACUCACAGUAUCUCAGCUCCCUUCCGUAGAAGAUGAACACCCGUGCCAACACACCAUCUCCGCUAGCACGAUGAGCAAUGCCCCUCCUGGUAUAUCACAGACAUGCAGUUCAGUUUCUCGGCGAUCAGGCUCGGUCAAAACUCACGACAGCACAAGCUCGGUCCAGCUUCUCGUCCGCUCACCUCAACGCUUGUCUAAAACUGUACACAUAUAUCAAAGAAGUCACGAGAAAACUAACUUUUUUCCCCCCUCGCGCUCGUCUCGCUCACUUCCUUCAUUUUCGGAACACCCCGUCUUCUUCAUAUUUUUAAAACAGAUCAAUACUGAGAUUCUAGAUGUUUUUAUUUAAAAAGGCUUAAAAGAGGUGCUCAACUCACGGCUGCUUUAAGAGGCUCGCCUCGCCUCGUAUGUGUGUGCGCAAGUGUGUGAGUGUGUGUUACAUCGUAUCAGGCCAUCAAACUGUUCAAUAAACUGUUUAAGACAGAUAGUCACCCGAUCAAGACUGAGAUUCCAGAUGUUUUUAUUUAAAAAGGCUUAAAAGAGGUGUUCAACUCACGGCUGCUUUAAGAGGCUCUGCUCAGCUCGUCUCGUAUGUGUGUGCGCAAGUGUGUGUGUGUGUAACAUCGUAUCAGCCGAUCAAACUGUUCAAUAAACUGUUUAAGACAGAUAGUCACCCGAUCAAGACUGAGAUUCCAGAUGUUUUUAUUUAAAAAGGCUUAAAAGAGGUGCUCAACUCACCGCUGCUUUAAGAGGCUCGCCUAGCCUCGCCUCGGUAUGUGUGUGCGCAAGUAUGUGAGUGUGUGUAACAUAGUAUCAGGCGAUCAAACUGUUCAAUAAACUGUUUAAGACAGAUAGUCACCCGAUCAAGACUGAGAUUCCAGAUGUUUUUAUUUAAAAAGGCUUAAAAGAGGUGCUCAACUCACGGCUGUUAUAAGAGGCUCGCCUCGCCUCGCCUCGUAUGUGUGUGCGCAAGUGUGUGAGUGUGUGUAACAUCGUAUCAGGCGAUCCACCUGUUCAAUAAACUGUUUAAGACAGAUAGUCACCCGAUUAAUACUGAGAUUCUAGAUGUUUUUUUAUUUAAAAAGGCUUAAAAGAGGUGCUCAACUCACGGCUGUUAUAAGAGGCUCGCCUCGCCUCGCCUCGCCUCGUAUGUGUGUGCGCAAGUGUGUGAGUGUGUGUAACAUCGUAUCAGCCGAUCAAACUGUUCAAUAAACUGUUUAAGACAGAUAGUCACCCGAUUAAUACUGAGAUUCUAGAUGUUUUUUAUUUAAAAAGGCUUAAAAGAGGUGCUCAACUCACGGCUGUUAUAAGAGGCUCGCCUCGCCUCGCCUCGCCUCGUAUGUGUGUGCGCAAGUGUGUCAGUGUGUGUAACAUCGUAUGAGGCGAUCAAACUGUUCAAUAAACUGUUUAAGACAGAUAGUCACCCGAUCAAGACUGAGAUUCCAGAUGUUUUUAUUUAAAAAGGCUUAAAAGAGGUGCUCAACUCACGGCUACUUUAAGAGGCUCGCCUCGCCUCGUAUGUGUGUGCGCAAGUGUGUGAGUGUGUGUAACAUCGUAUCAGGCGAUCAAACUGUUCAAUAAACUGUUUAAGACAGAUAGUCACCCGAUCAAGACUGAGAUUCCAGAUGUUUUUAUUUAAAAAGGCUUAAAAGAGGUGUUCAACUCACGGCUGCUUUAAGAGGCUCUGCUCAGCUCGUCUCGUAUGUGUGUGCGCAAGUGUGUGUGUGUGUAACAUCGUAUCAGCCGAUCAAACUGUUCAAUAAACUGUUUAAGACAGAUAGUCACCCGAUUAAUACUGAGAUUCUAGAUGUUUUUUUAUUUAAAAAGGCUUAAAAGAGGUGCUCAACUCACGGCUGUUAUAAGAGGCUCGCCUCGCCUCGCCUCGCCUCGUAUGUGUGUGCGCAAGUGUGUCAGUGUGUGUAACAUCGUAUGAGGCGAUCAAACUGUUCAAAAAACUGUUUAAGACAGAUAGUCACCCGAUUAAUACUGAGAUUCUAGAUGUUUUUUUAUUUAA